rnacentral:rRNA from 1 species
GACGAACGCUGGCGGCGUGCUUAACACAUGCAAGUCGAACGGAAAGGCCCUGCUUUUGUGGGGUGCUCGAGUGGCGAACGGGUGAGUAACACGUGAGUAACCUGCCCUUGACUUUGGGAUAACUUCAGGAAACUGGGGCUAAUACCGGAUAGGAGCUCCUGCUGCAUGGUGGGGGUUGGAAAGUUUCGGCGGUUGGGGAUGGACUCGCGGCUUAUCAGCUUGUUGGUGGGGUAGUGGCUUACCAAGGCUUUGACGGGUAGCCGGCCUGGGAGGGUGAACGGCCACAUUGGGACUGAGGUACGGACCAGACUCGUACGGGAGGCAGCAGUGGGGAAUAUUGCACAAUGGGCGGAAGCCUGAUGCAGAAACGCCGCGUGCGGGAUGACGGCCUUCGGGUUGUAAACCGCUUUCGCCUGUGACGAAGCGUGAGUGACGGUAAUGGGUAAAGAAGCACCGGCUAACUACGUG